rnacentral:rRNA from 1 species
UUAAAAAGCUCGUAGUUGGAUUUCUGUUACGAUGAGCCGGCCGGCCCUUCGGGGUUGUAGCUAGGUUUCGUGGUAGCAUCUUGGCGCAAUCGCCGCUGGCAUUCGUUUGUUGGCGUGCGGGACCGCCUCGUUUACUUUGAGAAAAUUUGAGUGUUCAAAGCGGGCUAUCGCCUUGAAAAUAUUAGCAUGGAAUAAUGAUAUAGGACUUUUGGUUCUAUUUUGUUGGUGUUCGAGAACCAAAGUAAUGAUUGAUAGGGACAGUUGGGGGCAUCAGUAUUCUGAAGCGAGAGGUGAAAUUCUUGGACCUUCGGAAGACUAACAGCUGCGAAAGCGUUUGCCUAGGAUGUUCUCUUUAAUCAAGAACGAAGGUUGGGGGAUCGAAGACGAUCAGAUACCGUCGUAGUCUCAACUAUAAACUAUGCCAGCUAGGGAUGAGUGGAUGUUUAAUUACGACUCCAUUCGCACCUUAUGAGAAAUCAAAGCAUUUGGGUUCCGGGGGGAGUAUGGUCGCAGGCUGAAACUUAAAGGAAUUGACGGGAGGGCCC